CUUCUUCCUCCUCUCACCUUCUCUCUCUCUUCCUCUCUCUCUCUCUCUCUCUCUGAUAUUUUAGUUCACUUCCAAAACUCUCUUUCUGUUUGCUUCCUUGUCUCUUCCCCCACUAAAAUAUCUCUCUUUGGCCUUUAUUUUAUAAAAAUAUCUCAUCCCUCCUCCAUUCAGAUUCUAUGUUAAAUUCCUUUAUGCUCAUAAUUUCCAGCUGAUUAUAUCACUCCAAGAACCUCACAAUUCCAAAAACCAGAAACCCACUUCAAAGAUAUACUUUUGAGGAUUGGGAAGCUGUUGCGAGUUCAGCCAUGGCACCUACUGCGAAAUCGGACGGAAAAACAAUCAUAGACUCCGCCAUUUCAUCCAAGAUUCCGGCGACCGCAAACCCUUUAGCCGAAGAACCGUCGCAGAUUGCUUCCAACAUCAAUUACCACGCGAAAUUCAGCCCCCACUUCUCGCCGUUCAAGUUCGAGCCGGAGCAAGCCUACUACGCGACAGCUGACAGCGUCCGCGAUCGCCUGAUCCAGCAAUGGAACGAGACGUACCUGCAUUUCCACCAGGAGAAUCCCAAGCAGACAUACUACUUGUCCAUGGAGUAUCUUCAAGGACGAGCCUUGACCAAUGCGAUCGGGAAUUUGAAUGUUCAGAGUGCUUAUGCUGAUGCUUUGAACAAGUUGGGGCAUCAGCUGGAGGAAAUAACAGAGCAGGAAAAAGAUGCAGCACUCGGAAAUGGGGGCUGGGAAGGCUUGCUUCGUGCUUUCUAGACUCCAUGGCAACGCUAAAUUUACCUGCGUGGGGGUAUGGUUUUUGAGGUACAGAUAUGGUCUAUUCAAGCAGCGGAUCGCCAAGGAUGGCCAGGAAGAAACUGCAGAGGAUUGGCUAGAGAAGUUUAGUCCGUGGGAAGUUGUCAGGCAUGAUGUUGUGUACCCUGUCAGAUUCUUUGGCCAUGUUCAUGUCAAUCCUGAUGGAUCCCGAAAGUGGGUUGAGGGAGAGGUUUUGCGAGCUCUGGCUUAUGAUGUGCCAAUUCCAGGAUACAAAACCAAGAACACUAUUAGUCUUCGUCUAUGGGAAGCUAAAGCAUCCGCUGAGGACUUUAACCUAUUUCAAUUUAAUGAUGGACAGUAUGAAUCUGCUGCGCAGCUUCAUUCUCGAGCGCAACAGAUUUGUGCUGUUUUGUAUCCUGGAGAUGCCACAGAGGAGGGGAAACUUUUAAGGCUGAAGCAACAAUUCUUCCUGUGCAGUGCAUCACUUCAGGAUAUUAUUUUUAGAUUCAAGGAGAGGAAACAGGGGACAGACUCAUUGCAAUGGUCAGAAUUUCCAAAAAAGGUUGCUGUCCAAAUGAACGAUACUCAUCCUACACUUGCAAUCCCAGAGCUAAUGCGAUUGCUAUUGGAUGAGGAAGGGCUUGCGUGGGAUGAGGCAUGGGAAGUGACAACAAGGACGGUUGCUUAUACUAAUCACACAGUCCUUCCUGAAGCACUUGAGAAAUGGUCACAAACUGUAAUGUGGAAGCUUCUCCCUCGCCAUAUGGAAAUAAUAGAAGAAAUUGACAAAAGAUUCAUUGCUAUGGUACGUGCUACACGAACUGAUCUUGAGAGCAAAAUUCCCAGCUUGUGCGUUUUGGAUAACAAUCCCCAAAAGCCUGUUGUGCGUAUGGCAAAAUUUAUGUGUGGUGUCUGCACAUACGGUUAAUGGUGUUGCCCAAUUGCACAGUGAUAUUUUGAAGAAUGAGUUAUUUGUAGACUAUGUCUCUAUAUGGCCAACAAAGUUCCAAAACAAAACCAAUGGGAUUACUCCUCGUCGGUGGCUUCGCUUUUGCAGUCCUGAGCUCAGUAACAUAAUAACCAAAUGGUUAAAAACUGAUGAAUGGGUUACCAACCUGGACCUACUUGUAGGUCUUCGAAAGUUUGCCGAUGAUUCAAAAUUACAAGAAGAAUGGGCGUCUGCCAAGAUGGCUAAUAAGAAGCGUUUGGCACAGUACAUAGAGCAUGUGGCAGGUGUCAAGAUUGACCCAAACAGUCUAUUUGACAUACAAGUGAAGCGUAUCCAUGAAUAUAAGAGACAGUUGCUGAAUAUUCUGGGUGCAGUUUAUCGGUAUAAGAAGUUCGAGAAUGAGAAUGAAAUGAAGAGAGGAGAAAAGGGAGAAGGAAGGGAGAAGGCACCGGUGCAAGGAAGAGAUUGA